GAUGAACGCUAGCGGCAGGCUUAAUACAUGCAAGUCGAGGGGCAUCAAGGUACACGAAAGUGUAUUGUUGGCGACCGGCGGACGGGUGAGUAAUAGGUAGGUAACCUACCUCAUACUGAGGCAUAGCUGGGAGAAAUUCCAGGUAAUUCCUCAUGAGGUUAUAUGACACAUGUGAUAUAAUCAAAGGUAUCGCAAGGUACUGGUAUGAGAUGGGCUUACUGACCAUUAGCUAGUUGGUGAGAUAAGAGCUCACCAAGGCGAAGAUGGUUAGGGGUUUUGAGAGAGAGAUCCCCCACAUUGGAACUGAGAUACGGUCCAGACUCCUACGGGAGGCAGCAAGUAGGGAAUAUUGGGCAAUGGGCGGAAGCCUGACCCAGCCAUAGCCGCGUGAAGGAAGACGGCCUUAUGGGUUGUAAACUUCUUUACUAUGCGACUAACUAGAUUUACGAGAUAAUUCUAUAGAAUGUAGCAUAGCAAAAGCAACCGG
rnacentral:rRNA from 1 species